UUAGAGUUUGAUCCUGGCUCAGGAUGAACGCUAGCGGCAGGCUUAAUACAUGCAAGUCGAGGGGCAGCGGGGUAGCAAUACCGCCGGCGACCGGCAAACGGGUGCGGAACACGUACAGAACCUCCCUUUAAGCGGGGAAUAGCCCGAAGAAAUUCGGAUUAAUACCCCAUAGUAAUAUUUAGUGGCAUCAUUAGAUAUUUAAAGAUUUAUCACUUAGAGAUGGCUGUGCGGCUGAUUAGGUAGUUGGUGUAGGUAAAGGCUCACCAAGCCUUCGAUCAGUAACUGGUGUGAGAGCACGACCAGUCACACGGGCACUGAGACACGGGCCCGACUCCUACGGGAGGCAGCAGUAAGGAAUAUUGGUCAAUGGACGCAAGUCUGAACCAGCCAUGCCGCGUGAAGGAUGAAGGUCCUCUGGAUUGUAAACUUCUUUUAUAUGGGACGAAAUGCAUUUUUUCUAAAAUGUUUGACGGUACCAUAGGAAUAAGCACCGGCUAACUCCGUGCCAGCAGCCGCGGUAAUACGGAGGGUGCAAGCGUUAUCCGGAUUCACUGGGUUUAAAGGGUGCGUAGGUGGGUCUGUAAGUCAGUGGUGAAAUCUCCGGGCUUAACCCGUAAAUUGCCGUUGAUACUAUAGGUCUUGAAUCUUCUGGAGGUUAGCGGAAUAUGUCAUGUAGCGGUGAAAUGCUUAGAUAUGACAUAGAACACCAAUUGCGAAGGCAGCUAACUACGGGGCAUUGACACUGAGGCACGAAAG
rnacentral:rRNA from 1 species